GAACAAGUUGGACAUUUCUUUGGGAGUUGCCUUAGGUUCAGCAACACAAAUUGCCAUGUUUGUGGUUCCCUUGUGUGUGAUUGUAUCAUGGAUUAUUGGUGUGAGAAUGGAUCUUGAUUUUAGUCUUCUUGAGACAGGCUCCCUUGCUUUAGCAAUAAUUGUCACAGCUUUCACUCUACAGGAUGGAACAUCUCACUAUAUUAAAGGAUUAGUCCUCUUGCUUUGUUACAUUGUCAUUGGUGCAUGUUUUUUCGUAUCCAACAUACCACAAAAACAACCAAAUGGUGUCAAUUUGGGCUCAUCAAGUGAAGGAAUCAUGAGAGUUUGAUGAUCAUCCUAAUCAAAAAAUGGAUGCAUAUUUUAUUCUUUGAUUGGGAAUAUAAUUGGGUUUAAUUGAAUCAUAUCAUUAUAAGAGUUGAAUGUAUUAUUUCAA
rnacentral:misc_RNA from 1 species